UACGGGGGGGGCAAGCGUUGUCCGGAUUUAUUGGGCGUAAAGAGCGUGUAGGCGGCCAUACAGGUCAGCUGUGAAAACUCGAGGCUCAACCUCGAGACGUCGGUUGAAACCGUAUGGCUAGAGUCCGGAAGAGGAGAGUGGAAUUCCUGGUGUAGCGGUGAAAUGCGCAGAUAUCAGGAGGAACACCGGUGGCGAAGGCGGGUCUCUGGGCCGAUACUGACGCUGAGGAGCGAAAGCGUGGGGAGCGAACAGG
rnacentral:rRNA from 1 species